UUUUCCUUCCAAAAACUGAAUCUCAGUCGAACUAUUAUCUUCUUACUUGGCUGAGAUGUGCUCAGAUUUUUUUUCUCUAUAUAUUAGUAACUAGCCAAAUUAAGGUUUCAUAUCUCUUUCCUUUAUUCACAUCACAAAUGCUUUAUUGCAAUUUGGUGUGUUUCUGAGGUGAAUUAUACUUCAGAAUAAAGACUACUUUGGUGGGUUUGGACAUAAUUGGAAAAGUAGACAUUUUGUUCCAUUCUCAAAAGAAAAAAAGACGAAAAAAUAGGCCUUUUGUUUUUGAAGAACCCAGCUACAAGCAUCAAAGAUUGUAUCUUUGUGUGUUUGAGGUUGAAUCAUGAUUCAGAUCAGAGAGAAAUUUGGUGUAUUAUUUAGGUAAAUUUUGAUUUAGAUCAAAGAGUACUUUGGUGGGUGUUUGUUUGUGUGGCAUAGCUCAGAAAUAAUACGAAAGAUUGUAUUUUGGUGUGUUCUUGAGGUUGAAUUAUAAUUCAGAUUAAAGAGUACUUUGGUGGGUUUGGAAGGAAUUGAAAAAGUAGGCCUUUUGUUUUUUAAGAACUUGACUAGAAGCAUCAAAGAUUGUAUUUUUUGUGUUUUUUGAGGUUGAAUCUUGAUUCAGAUCAUACAUAUAUAUUUUUUUUAAUAAACUCAGCAAGAGUAAUUGAAGAUUGUAUUUUAGUUUAUCUUGAGGUUGAAUUUUAUCAGAUCAGAGAGUACUUUGGUAAUUGGAAGAGGUUUUUGUUUGUGUGGAGAACCUACUAACAGUCAUCAAAUAUUGACCUUUUUUGGUGCAUUUUGAAGUUGAAUUUUAUCAGAUCAGAGAGUACUUUGGUAAUUGGAAGUUGGUUUUUGUUUGUGUGGAGAACCUACUAACAGUCAUCAAAUAUUGACCUUUUUUGGUGCAUUGUGAAGUUGAAUAUGAUUAGAUCAAAGAAUACUUUUGUGGUUUGGAGGGAAUUGAGUCAUGUUCUAUGGUUCAGUGGUGUGGGAUCCAUGGCUAAUUGUUG